GAUGAACGCUGGCGGCGUGCCUAAUACAUGCAAGUCGAGCGAACGGACGAGAAGCUUGCUUCUCUGAUGUUAGCGGCGGACGGGUGAGUAACACGUGGAUAACCUACCUAUAAGACUGGGAUAACUUCGGGAAACCGGAGCUAAUACCGGAUAAUAUUUUGAACCGCAUGGUUCAAAAGUGAAAGACGGUCUUGCUGUCACUUAUAGAUGGAUCCGCGCUGCAUUAGCUAGUUGGUAAGGUAACGGCUUACCAAGGCAACGAUGCAUAGCCGACCUGAGAGGGUGAUCGGCCACACUGGAACUGAGACACGGUCCAGACUCCUACGGGAGGCAGCAGUAGGGAAUCUUCCGCAAUGGGCGAAAGCCUGGCGGAGCAACGCCGCGUGAGUGAUGAAGGUCUUCGGAUCGUAAAACUCUGUUAUUAGGGAAGAACAUAUGUGUAAGUAACUGUGCACAUCUUGACGGUACCUAAUCAGAAAGCCACGGCUAACUACGUGCCAGCAGCCGCGGUAAUACGUAGGUGGCAAGCGUUAUCCGGAAUUAUUGGGCGUAAAGCGCGCGUAGGCGGUUUUUUAAGUCUGAUGUGAAAGCCCACGGCUCAACCGUGGAGGGUCAUUGGAAACUGGAAAACUUGAGUGCAGAAGAGGAAAGUGGAAUUCCAUGUGUAGCGGUGAAAUGCGCAGAGAUAUGGAGGAACACCAGUGGCGAAGGCGACUUUCUGGUCUGUAACUGACGCUGAUGUGCGAAAGCGUGGGGAUCAAACAGGAUUAGAUACCCUGGUAGUCCACGCCGUAAACGAUGAGUGCUAAGUGUUAGGGGGUUUCCGCCCCUUAGUGCUGCAGCUAACGCAUUAAGCACUCCGCCUGGGGAGUACGACCGCAAGGUUGAAACUCAAAGGAAUUGACGGGGACCCGCACAAGCGGUGGAGCAUGUGGUUUAAUUCGAAGCAACGCGAAGAACCUUACCAAAUCUUGACAUCCUUUGACAACUCUAGAGAUAGAGCCUUCCCCUUCGGGGGACAAAGUGACAGGUGGUGCAUGGUUGUCGUCAGCUCGUGUCGUGAGAUGUUGGGUUAAGUCCCGCAACGAGCGCAACCCUUAAGCUUAGUUGCCAUCAUUAAGUUGGGCACUCUAAGUUGACUGCCGGUGACAAACCGGAGGAAGGUGGGGAUGACGUCAAAUCAUCAUGCCCCUUAUGAUGUGGGCUACACACGUGCUACAAUGGACAAUACAAAGGGCAGCGAAACCGCGAGGUCAAGCAAAUCCCAUAAAGUUGUUCUCAGUUCGGAUUGUAGUCUGCAACUCGACUACAUGAAGCUGGAAUCGCUAGUAAUCGUAGAUCAGCAUGCUACGGUGAAUACGUUCCCGGGUCU
rnacentral:rRNA from 1 species